rnacentral:lncRNA from 14 species
GGGCGGACUACGCUUCCCAUAACCCCCCGCGCCAAGGGGAGGGCGGGAGCGAGGAGGACGCGGGAAGCGGGGUCACGUGGUGCUGGAGGGGCGGGGAGGGGGCCGUGCCUCAGUUUACCCCGAAAGGGGUCAGGGGACAGCGGGGACAGUGGGGACUGUGGGGGCAAUGGGGACAGUGGGGACAUGGGGACAAUGGGGACAGUGGGGACAAUGGGGACAGUGGGGACUGUGGGGGCAAUGGGGACAAUGGGGACAGCGGGGGCAAUGGGGGCAAUGGGGACAUGGGGACAAUGGGGACAGUGGGGACAUGGGGACAAUGGGGACAGCGGGGGGCAAUGGGGACAGUGGGGACAUGGGGACAGUGGGGACUGUGGGGACAGCGGGGGCAAUGGGGGCAAUGGGGACAUGGGGACAAUGGGGACAGCGGGGCAGAGGUGGCCCUGGUCAGAAUGGGAGCGCGGGGAUGGCCCCGGGAGCGCUGGGACCCAAGGACACCGUACUGGCGGCACUGGGAUGGCCCCGGUGCCCCGUGCGCUGCUGGGCCCGGCCGGGGCCGGUGCCGGUGCCGGCGGGGUCACGGGGACACCGGCGGGGUCACGGGGACACCGGCGGGGUCACGGGGACACCGGCGGGGCGGGUGUUGGAGUCCCGGUGCUGACGCCGGGAGCUGCCGGUGCCGGUGCCCGUGCCGCCCUCUCCGGUACCGGGGGGUGGUCCCGGUGCAGAAUCAGGGUCCUGAUGCAGGAUCGGGGUCCCGGUGCGGAACCACGGCAGUCCCGGUGCCGGUUCCUGACGGUGCCGAGUGGGGGUCCCAGUGAAGUGUUGGGGUCCCGGUGCAGUUUCGGGGUGCCGGUGCGGUGUCGGGGGGCUCCCCGGUGCCGGUCUGUGGGUCCCGGUGCGGUAUCCGGGUCCCGGUGCCGGUCUCUCCGCUGCGGCGGUUCCCGGGCCGGUACCGGGGUUCCGGUGGGGUACCAGUGCGGUCCCGGUGCAGCAUCGCGGUCCCGGGGCGCUGCCGGGGGCGCUCCCGGUGCCCGUGCCGGUCUCUCCG